UACAGAGGGUGCGAGCGUUGUUCGGAAUUAUUGGGCGUAAAGCGCUUGUAGGCGGCUUGUUAAGUCGCGUGUGAAAUCCCCAGGCUUAACCUGGGAAGUGCGCGCGAAACUGGCGAGCUUGAAUGCCGGAGAGGGUCGCGGAAUUCCCGGUGUAGAGGUGAAAUGCGUAGAGACCCGGAGGAACACCAGUGGCGAAGGCGGCUUCCUGGUCUGCAACUGACGCUGUGGCGCGAAAGCUAGGGGAGCAAACGGGAGUUAGAAACC
rnacentral:rRNA from 1 species